CUUUAUUGGAGAGUUUGAUCCUGGCUCAGGACGAACGCUGGCGGCGUGCCUAAUACAUGCAAGUCGAGCGAAUCGAUGGGAGCUUGCUCCCUGAGAUUAGCGGCGGACGGGUGAGUAACACGUGGGUAACCUGCCUGUAAGAUUGGGAUAACUCCGGGAAACCGGAGCUAAUACCGGAUAAUAUUUUGAACCGCAUGGUUCAAAAUUGAAAGAUGGUUUCGGCUAUCACUUACAGAUGGACCCGCGGCGCAUUAGCUAGUUGGUGAGGUAAUGGCUC
rnacentral:rRNA from 1 species